rnacentral:misc_RNA from 1 species
AUCAAGUCUAAAAUUCAUUUGCUGCAAAUAGCUAUCAGAGAAAAUGAAGACAAUGAAAAACCAAAAUCUUAAAAUGUAUUUGAUCGGUUGAUGCUUGAUGUCCAAGACCUCUCAAGUUCAAGUGUACCUACACAAUGAAGUUGUCCUUGAGAUAUUUGUUUACAAGGAUUCUUUGGGGUUUUCAGCUAGAAGAGGAGGGUAAAUUGAGAACUACAAAUAGUAUCAGAGUUUCUGACAUAAAUUUUGGUUUCCAAUUUUGUGCUAUUAUUCAAUUUCCAAACUGGAGCCUGCAUCUUAGCA